rnacentral:rRNA from 1 species
GACGAACGCUGGCGGCGUGCCUAAUACAUGCAAGUCGAACGCAGUGGGGACGGGUGAGUAGCACGUGGGUAACCUCCCAUCAGAGGGGAUAACACUUGGAAACAGGUGCUAAACCGAUACUGAUGGAUGGACCCGCGGUGCAUUAGCUAGUUGGUGAGGUAACGGCUCCCCAAGGCCACGAUGCAUAGCCGACCGGGGGGGUGGAUCGGCAAACUUGGGACGGAGACACGGCCCAGACUCCACCGGGGGGCAGCAGUAGGGAAUCUUCGGCAAUGGACGAAAGUCUGACCGAGCAACGCCGGGGUAGGGAAGAAGGUUUUCGGAUCGUAAACCUCUGUUGUUAGAGAAGCGGUAUCUAACCAGAAAGCCACGGCUAACUACGUGCCAGCAGCCGCGGUAAUU